rnacentral:rRNA from 1 species
ACGGAAGGCAGCAGUGAGGAAUUUUCCGCAAUGGGCGAAAGUCUGACGGAGCGACGCCGCGUGGAUGAUGAAGGCCGGAAGGUUGUAAAAUCCUUUUAUAACUGAGGAAUAAGUAUGAUGAGAGAAACGUCAUAUGGUGACUGUAGGUUAUGAAUAAGCAACGGCUAAUUACGUGCCAGCAGCCGCGGUAACACGUAAGUUGCGAGCGUUGUUCGGAAUUAUUGGGCGUAAAGGGCAUGUAGGCGGUUUUGCAAGCUUGGUGUGAAAUCCCGGAGCUUAACUCCGGAAUUGCGUUGAGAACUGCAUAACUAGAGUCACUGAGGGGCAAUCAGAAUUCCAGGUGUAGGGGUGAAAUCUGUAGAUAUCUGGAAGAAUACCAAUGGCGAAGGCAGGUUACCAGCAGAUGACUGACGCUGAGGUGCGAAGGUGCGGGGAGCAAACAGGAUUAGAUACCCUGGUA